ensembl:lncRNA
CCCACCUGACCCGAAUCACCUCCCAAAGUUCCUCCCCCAACUAGCGUCACACGGAGGGAUUUCAGCACGUGAACUUGGGGAGGACACUGCAAUCAGACCAUAACAGCGCGUGUGUGCGUGUGCUUCUGUGUGCGCGUGCUUCUGUAUGCGCGUGUGCUUCUCUGUGUGUGCGCGCACGCAAGCGCGAGCGCGGAGGGUGGGGGUGGGGGCGGGGGCGCCGGCGGUGGCCCCACUGGAACGGCCGCCUUCCGUCCGCGGAGCCGCCCCCUGGGGACGGGGCGCGGGUUUGGGGGAGGCUCCGCCCGCUUUCCGCGGAGUGUGCUGCCACCUGGAGGGAGGGCGGUGUCCGGCCUGGGGGAGGACGCCGCUCGUUGCCGCCGGGGGAUCCUGUCCCUGCGCGGGGACGAGGGCCGACGCGGGGGCGGGGAGGUGGGCAGGCAGGAGCUAAGAGCCGGAGGCCGCACUCGGAAGCGCCCGCUGGCGCGUUUCUCCCCAAACAGCCGCCUCCUGCGUUCGGAAGGCUGGGUGGUGCCCGCCGCCCCUGCUGUGUCGCCUCCCGCGUGCCUAGGGGACGGAUCCUCCUGCGGCUGCGCGCCGGCCAGCAAGAUGCGAGCCAGUUCUCUGAAGGGGGACGAAGUCCUGUUGGGUUGUCUCGUCAGAAGCCGCCACCUUACAUCCCCGCGCCCCGCCCUGGACAUCCCCGCAGCCUUCGCGGGCCUCCCCGGAGGGCACCCCGGAGAGACACCUGCAGACUCACACUUCUGUCUUCCAGACAGUCCAAGAAAAUGGCAUUGUGCCAUUUGUGCUAUUUGUACCCAGGUGUGGUGAGGCCAGCAGACCAGGAGACAGCAGCCGCCACUGAGAAGCUGUGCUCAGAGAUCCCGGGAGGAGGCCACGCUGCGCCUGCAGAGCGGGACCACAGAGGAAGGAACAGGAAAAGGCUCCCACCUCUUGGACUGAUCUUGGACUUCCCGGCCUCCAGAGCGGCAAGAAAUAAAUUCUGUUGUUUAUAAGCCCCCCGUCUGUGGUAUUCUACUGCAGUGGCCCGAAUGGACGAAGACUUUGGCAGCCUCUAGGAACUGGCCAGCCCUGGGAGGGGCAGCAUCUCCAAGGUCAGCAAGGCCCCCGAUGUCAAAACAUCAGAAAAUACAGAAAACCAUGGUAUGGUUAGUACAGGGUGUUUCUGGCUCACGGCUUGAGAGAGCUGAGGGUUCCCGUGGCGGGUGGCUGGAGGGCUGGGGUCCUUAUUACACGGUCUCUCCAUAGGGUCACUUGAGUGUCUGCAUGACACGUACCCGGCAAACCGCAGCAUGCAUGAUCCCAGAGAGAAUGCCUAGAGGAACCGUGGGGACUUUUAAUGGCCUUGUCUCUGAACCCACACACCUUCCCCUCUGCCUGUGUCUUCUUUGUUAGAAGCACAUCACUGAGUCCAGCCCACUGUCCGGCGGUGGGGAGGAAGAGAGAGACUCUGCGGAUGCUUUUGAAAACCACCACACAGGCUGAACCAGGCUCUAUUUCCAGCCCUGCCCCCACCCCAGCCCAAGUCCCUCAGCCCCAUCCCUUGCUUUUUAACCAAAGGCUCCCGUGAGAAGCACCAAGAGAGGUGGUUUUCAAUCCACACGCCCAGGAGGCACCGCCCCGGGGCCUUGCUGAGGUCUGCACCGCCCCCAGGCGCAGGGCACGUGGCAUCUCCAUGGGCCUCUUGGGCAACCGUCUUGGUCUGCCUAGCCCCCUGUCCGCAUUAUCUCUGGAACACUCAGGAACACCAUCUUCAGUCAGCUUCGAUGCCACCUGCUAUGUGAACCCCUCCCGGAGCCCUCAUCCGGCACGAGGAAUUACUACCAGGAUCACCCCGGACAUGAGUGAGGCCGAGAGUAUGUGAUGCUAAAAUCAGAGAGUAUGUGCUUUUCUUUAUAGUGAGACCGGGAGUUCCUCAAAGGGAGACACAGACACAUGGACACUAUGUCCCCAGCAUCUGUCCCCUGGGGAUGGUCAAGUUAUAUAUUCUGGCUAAAUGAAUGACCCAGGGGAAAGUUAAGUGGUCAGUCCCCAAAAGCAUGUCUAGGAGACACCUGGGGAAGGAGCAAAUUUCCCACCUGUAACUAUAUCCUCCCAACACCCAACUUUCUGCACACAUGUGCUUAUAUGAGCUCUCCCGGCACAGGUCUGUUCUGACUCAGGGCAUUUGUCCCUUGCCCUGUUACGGACCAGUGUCAUUUCUCUUGGGAACUUGGCCCUUUUGUGUCUUCUGGCUAGAUUCACUGCCUCCAGGCUGCACAGCUUUCCUCGGAUGGCCCGUCCAUCCUUAGGCAGUGUCUUAUAUUGUUGUCUGGUCUCGUGUGCAGAUUUCUCAACCGUCCCAUCAACUCCCGAGAGCAGGACCGUGCCUUCUGCCCAUCUGGUCUUUAUGGCUUUGACACCGAGCUUUCAGCAGCUACGUGUGUGAGUUGAUGGAUGUUUUCAGCAGGCCCACGUCUUAGAGCAACAUGUUCUACCUGUUGUGUAAAGACUGCUUCCAACUUGGUAGAGUUCUUGCCAUUUUUUGAGAAGCACAGAGACGUGAGGUGUGUCCCAAGUGUGGGGAUAACGGUCCCACUAUAUUCUGAAUGGGGGCACCACAUCCAGCGUAAUGACUUCAGUCGUGGGUACCAUGAGGAUCAGUGAAAGAACCUGGGGUAGCCCAGGCAACGUCUCACAUUUCUCUUCAAGAAAGGACUCUGCUGUUUAUGACCAUUACGUCAGUCAGUCACGUCACGCUUCGAGUUAGGCAGGACAAGACUGUUCCUCUGUUAACAAAUAAACUGAGGCCCAGGAAGAGUAAGUGACCUGCU